rnacentral:rRNA from 1 species
AAGUCGAGCGGUAUAUACUGGAACGAAACUUCGGUCUAGAGAAGGUAUAGAGAGCGGCGGACGGGUGAGUAACGCGUAGGCAACCUGCCCCAUACAGAGGGAUAGCCUCGGGAAACCGGGAUUAAAACCUCAUAACACGAGAGUUUCACAUGUUACUUUCGUCAAAGAUUUAUCGGUAUGGGAUGGGCCUGCGUCUGAUUAGCUAGUUGGUGAGGUAACGGCUCACCAAGGCAACGAUCAGUAGCCGACCUGAGAGGGUAAUCGGCCACAUUGGAACUGAGACACGGUCCAAACUCCUACGGGAGGCAGCAGUGGGGAAUCUUGCACAAUGGGCGAAAGCCUGAUGCAGCAACGCCGCGUGAGCGAUGAAGGCCUUUGGGUCGUAAAGCUCUGUCCUUGGGGAAGAAAAAAUGACGGUACCCUUGGAGGAAGCCCCGGCUAACUACGUGCCAGCAGCCGCGGUAAUACGUAGGGGGCAAGCGUUAUCCGGAAUUAUUGGGCGUAAAGAGUGCGUAGGUGGUUAUGUAAGCGCAGGGUGAAAGGCAAUAGCUCAACUAUUGUAAGCCUUGCGAACUGCAUGACUUGAGUGCAGGAGAGGAAAGUGGAAUUCCUAGUGUAGCGGUGAAAUGCGUAGAUAUUAGGAGGAACACCAGUGGCGAAGGCGACUUUCUGGACUGUAACUGACACUGAGGCACGAAAGCGUGGGGAGCAAACAGGAUUAGAUACCCUGGUAGUCCACGCCGUAAACGAUGAGCACUAGGUGUCGGGGUCGCAAGACUUCGGUGCCGCAGUUAACGCAUUAAGUGCUCCGCCUGGGGAGUACGCACGCAAGUGUGAAACUCAAAGGAAUUGACGG